rnacentral:rRNA from 1 species
UACGAGGGGGGCAAAUGUUGUUCGGAAUCACCGGGCGUAAAGGGAGCGUAGGCGGGUUUCUAAGUCAGGUGUUUAAUCCCGGGGCCCAACCCCGGACAGGCACUUGAAACUGGGAAUCUUGAAUAGUGGAGAGGUCAGUGGAAUUGGGGGUGUAGCGGUGGAAUGCGUAGAGAUCCCCAAGAACACCAGUUGCGAAGGCGGCUGACUGGACACAUAUUGACGCUGAGGCUCGAAAGCAUGGGGAGCAAACAGG